UUCACAUCAACACCCACAGGAUGAAGGACACACUCUCACUGAUACUGCUACUCAGCACCAUAGCAUCAGUGGUGAAAAGCCAAAGCAUGGAGUCCAUUCCCUCCAGUGCAGUGCUGAAGAAACCUGGUGACACUCUCAGUCUCUCCUGUAAAGGAGCUGGGUUUAACUUUGGAAGCUACAGUAUGCACUGGAUCAGACAGCCUGCUGGGAAAGCACUGGAGUGGAUGGGUUUUAUCUAUACGGAUGGUAGUAAGACUGUCUAUUCCAGCAGCAUCCAAGGCCACAUAGAAAUCACCAGAAACAACCCCAACAGCAUGGUGUAUCUGAAACUGUCUGGUAUGAGGGCAGAGGACUCUGCUCUGUAUUACUGUGCAGCAGCACACAGUUACAGAAAGGCUUCGUGUGCCGUACAAAUACAGCCCCUGUAUUUCUCAAUUUUUAGACAACAGGGGGUAGUGUGA